rnacentral:rRNA from 1 species
AUGGAGAAGGCAUUGGCCAAGUUAUGGGAUAUGUAUGAGGAGAGUAAGUUAGGUAGGACCAAUGACAAUCUGGAGAGUUCCUUUGUAAUCUACAACCUGACAGAAGAGAAGAAGAAACUACAGGAGAAUUAUGACAGUAUGUAUGCUGAUGUCAAUGCUCUCUUGGAUGCCCAGCAACAGAGGGGUCUGGAGUUGAGCAAUCAGAAGGAGCAGAAGCAAUGUCUUGAUGUGAAGAUUGCAGAGCUAGAAACUGUAGUGGGCAACUUGAAGUCAGAGCUGGCAAAGAAAGAAGAGGACAAGAAGAAAGUACAGGAGGAUUAUGACAGUUUGUAUGCUGAUGUCAAUGCUCUCUUGGAUGCCCAAGAAACUGUAGUGGGCAACUUGAAGGCAGAGCUGUCAAAGAAAGAGGAGGAGAAGAAGAAGCUGCUGCAAAAGUAUGAGACUCUAGUGAACCUGUCAGGUGGUCAAGCCAAUGUGAUUAGGAACUUGAAGUUAAAUCAUUUGAAGGAGAAGGAAAGGCUGACAUAA